rnacentral:rRNA from 1 species
CCUACGGGAGGCAGCAGUGGGGAAUCUUGCGCAAUGGGCGAAAGCCUGACGCAGCCAUGCCGCGUGAAUGAUGAAGGUCUUAGGAUUGUAAAAUUCUUUCACCGGGGACGAUAAUGACGGUACCCGGAGAAGAAGCCCCGGCUAACUUCGUGCCAGCAGCCGCGGUAAUACGAAGGGGGCUAGCGUUGCUCGGAAUUACUGGGCGUAAAGGGAGCGUAGGCGGAUAGUUUAGUCAGAGGUGAAAGCCCAGGGCUCAACCUUGGAAUUGCCUUUGAUACUGGCUAUCUUGAGUGUGGGAGAGGUAUGUGGAACUCCGAGUGUAGAGGUGAAAUUCGUAGAUAUUCGGAAGAACACCAGUGGCGAAGGCGACAUACUGGCCCAUUACUGACGCUGAGGCUCGAAAGCGUGGGGAGCAAACAGGAUUAGAUACCCUGGUAGUCCACGCCGUAAACGAUGAGUGCUAGUUGUCGGCAUGCAUGCAUGUCGGUGGUACGCAGACUAACGACAUUAAGUACACCUCCGCCGUCGGGGUAGGUACGGUCGGCGAAGAAGUUAAAACUAACAAAGAAGUAGUAGACGNGNGAGCGCGACGACGACGACGACGGAGGAGGAGG